rnacentral:lncRNA from 1 species
AGUAAAUAAGUAUGUAGUGGUGCAAUUUUGGUUUUUGUAGGAUACAAGGAGUUAGGGGAGCGAAGUUUAAUGGUUUCCCAUUGAGUUGUUACCUAGCAAUCAUAUACAGGUAUUAACUUUGAGCUUAUUCAUGGGCCAUUUUUCAUCUUCAUCAAAUUUUGUAAAAACAUGUAGAUUAUUUUCAAUAUUUCUAUGUUGGAGCUAGCAUUCUGAUUUCGUACCUUCAGAGUUUUCUUGAAAUCUUUUUUUCUUUUUAUUUUUGCAGGUGUAGCAAUCUUGCAUCAGCUCUAUCAUUAUUAUCAUUACGUAAGUUAGUAGUUUAAAGAUAUAAGAUAUUAUUUUUGGUGCCUAUGUCAUGCUCUGCACAAAUCUUGGUCGGAUAAACUCGUUAUCAUCUUCUCUAUGUUGUUUUCAUAUUUAUGUAUUCCUUUUUUUUUUGGUUUUUUUGGCAGGAAGCUGCUAAUUGGAGUGCAUGCUAUUUCUAUUGCAGGUUACUUAACCUUUACAACAGCAAACAGAAUAGCGAGUUGAUUUAGGCGUUGAUAUUUUCCUAAGAAGUCUUGCAGAAGUCGUGAAGGUUCGGUGCAUUGCGGUUGCUUCCUUAUGGAGUUUCUAUUACUUUUACUUGUUAGAUGUGUUUUGUGUGUAGUGUGUUAAAUAUCUUCGAAG